GGAUGUAAAGUUAUCUGACUGUGACAUCUGUCAACCCAUAGAUCGACAGGGUUGAUUCAGCUGAUCUGGCUGGUUAGGUGGGUGUCCCCUUCCUCCCUCAAUGCUCCAUGUGUGUCCUUCAUGAAGCUGCAUGCUCGGGUGAAGAGGACGGCCAGCCCCAUGGAGGACGACCAUUCCUUUGUCAGGGUGUAAGAGCAGCUGCGCUCCCCUGCUAGAACCACCAAAUGAGCUCCCAAGGGCCAGUAUUAUUUGAUUAAAAACAAAACCAGACUUAUAUCAAAACAAAAAAAUCCUAAAUCCAAAGUUUUUCUGCUUAUUA
rnacentral:snRNA from 1 species